GCCGGGUGCAGUGGCAUGUGCCUAUAGUCCCAGCUACUAGGGAGGCUGAGGCUGGAGGAUCACUUGAGCCCAGGAGUUCUGGGCUGUAGUAUGCUAUGCCGAUUGGGUGUCCUUGGCAUCAGUACGGUGACCUCUUGGGAGCAGAGGACCACCAGGUUGCCUAAGGAGGGGUGAACCGGCCUAGGUCAGAAACGGAGCAGGUCAAAACUCCUGGGCUCAUCAGCAGUGGGAUUGCACCUGUGAAUAGCCACUGCACUCCAGCCUGGGCAACGUAGCAAGAUCACCAGCCUG
rnacentral:SRP_RNA from 1 species